ACUGAUUGCCUCGACGAAUAUGCGUUUCGCCUUUUACUAAACGCAUCCGUGCUGGGAGACCUACCUCGUCACCGAGUUUUUCUUAUUCAGUCUAUUAAAGAAA
rnacentral:snRNA from 1 species